rnacentral:rRNA from 1 species
GAGUUUGAUCCUGGCUCAGGAUUAACGCUAGCGGCAGGCAUAAUACAUGCAAGUUGAACGAGAUAAGUUGUAGCAAUACGACUUUGAAAGUGGCGCACGGGUGCGUAACACGUAUGCAAUCUGCCCUUAUCUGUGGAAUAGCCCCUCGAAAGAGGGAUUAAUACCACAUAAAAUAGUGAAUAGGCAUCUAUUUACUAUCAAAGCUCCGGCGGAUAAGGAUGAGCAUGCGGCUGAUUAGCUAGUUGGUGAGGUAAUGGCUCACCAAGGCGACGAUCAGUAGGGGGUCUGAGAGGAUGUCCCCCCACACUGGUACUGAGACACGGACCAGACUCCUACGGGAGGCAGCAGUAGGGAAUAUUGGUCAAUGGGGGCAACCCUGAACCAGCCAUGCCGCGUGCAGGAUGAAGGCCCUAUGGGUCGUAAACUGCUUUUGUACGGGAAGAAAUCACAUUACGUGUAAUGUGUUGACGGUACCGUGAGAAUAAGGAUCGGCUAA